rnacentral:ncRNA from 14 species
UGUGCAGUGGUUUAACACGUCUGACUUUGAAUCAGAAGAUCGCGAGUUCAAACCUCGCCGA